rnacentral:rRNA from 1 species
CUACGGAGGGUGCGAGCGUUAAUCGGAAUUACUGGGCGUAAAGCGCGCGUAGGCGGAUAAUUAAGUCAGAUGUGAAAUCCCCGGGCUCAACCUGGGAACUGCAUUUGAUACUGAUUAACUAGAGUAUGGUAGAGGUGAGUGGAAUUUCCGGUGUAGCGGUGAAAUGCGUAGAGAUCGGAAGGAACACCAGUGGCGAAGGCGACUCACUGGGCCAUUACUGACGCUGAGGUGCGAAAGCGUGGGUAGCAAACAGGAUUAGAUACCCUAGUAGUCC